rnacentral:rRNA from 1 species
ACGCUCGACACCUACGGGAGUCAGCAGUGGGGAAUAUUGCACAAUGGGGGAAACCCUGAUGCAGCGAUGCCGCGUGAAGGAAGAAGUAUCUCGGUAUGUAAACUUCUAUCAGCAGGGAAGAAAAUGACGGUACCUGACUAAGAAGCCCCGGCUAACUACGUACCAGCAGCCGCGGUAAUCUGAGCGGGCUGGCAAGGC